ACAUGAUGGUGAUUAUGACGUCGAAUAUCGACGUCAUAAACACCAAACAUGAUGGUGUUUAUGACGUCGAAUAUCGCCGUCAUAAACACCA
rnacentral:miRNA from 1 species